ensembl:rRNA 5S_rRNA 5S ribosomal RNA
AUCUACAGCCAUACCACCCUGAACGCACCCAGUCUUGUCUGAUCUUGGAAGCUAAGCAGGGUCGGGCCUGGUUAGUACUUGGAUGGGAGACAGAAAGGAGAUCUAAAAUUGGAGCAGAAGGGA